GACGAACGCUGGCGGCAUGCCUAAUACAUGCAAGUCGAACGCUGAAGGAGGAGCUUGCUUCUCUGGAUGAGUUGCGAACGGGUGAGUAACGCGUAGGUAACCUGCCUGGUAGCGGGGGAUAACUAUUGGAAACGAUAGCUAAUACCGCAUAAUAUUGACUAUUGCAUGAUAGUCAGUUGAAAGGUGCAACUGCACCACUACAAGAUGGACCUGCGUUGUAUUAGCUAGUUGGUGGGUUAACGGCUCACCAAGGCGACGAUACAUAGCCGACCUGAGAGGGUGAUCGGCCAAAAUGGGACUGAGACACGGCCCAGACUCCUACGGGAGGCAGCAGUAGGGAAUCUUCGGAAAUGGACGGAAGUCUGACCGAGCAACGCCGCGUGAGGGAAGAAGGUUUUCGGAUCGUAAAGCUCUGUUGUAAGAGAAGAACGAGUGUGAGAGUGGAAAGCUCACACUGUGACGGUAUCUUACCAGAAAGGGACGGCUAACUACGUG
rnacentral:rRNA from 1 species